rnacentral:rRNA from 1 species
UGCAAGUCGAACGGGAUUUUCUUUGGUAGCAAUACCGAAGAAAGUCUAGUGGCGAACGGGUGCGUAACACGUGGGCAAUCUGCCUUAAAGUGGGGGAUAGCUCGGCGAAAGCCGAAUUAAUACCGCAUGUGAUGAGGGAAGACAUCUUUCCAAAAUCAAAGUCGGGGCAACCUGACGCUUUUUGAGGAGCCCGCGGCCUAUCAGCUUGUUGGUGAGGUAACGGCUCACCAAGGCUUUGACGGGUAGCUGGUCUGAGAGGACGACCAGUCACACUGGAACUGAGACACGGUCCAGACACCUACGGGUGGCAGCAGUCGAGAAUUUUUCUCAAUGGGGGAAACCCUGAAGGAGCGACGCCGCGUGGAGGAUGAAGGUCUUCGGGUUGUAAACUCCUGUCAUUUGAGAACAAGGUGCACACAUUAACUGCGUGUGCAUUGAUAGUAUCAGAAGAGGAAGAGACGGCUAACUCUGUGCCAGCAG